rnacentral:rRNA from 1 species
UACGAAGGGGGCUAGCGUUGCUCGGAAUCAUUGGGCGUAAAGGGCGCGUAGGCGGCGGGGUAAGUCGGGUGUGAAAUCUCAGAGCUCAACUCUGAAGCUGCACUCGAUACUGCUCUGCUUGAGGACUGGAGAGGAGACUGGAAUUCACGGUGUAGCAGUGAAAUGCGUAGAUAUCGUGAGGAAGACCAGUGGCGAAGGCGGGUCUCUGGACAGUUCCUGACGCUGAGGCGCGAAGGCCAGGGGAGCAAACGGG